AGAAGACGGCGCCCUCCCACGAUGUCUGGGGCUGCUUGGCGUGGGACUCCUCUGGCGCUGGUGCGGUCGUCGCGCAUGCGCGGGGGUGGGCAAGGCAGUGGUCAGCGACCCGCAGUCCAUCUGACUCCUGCUUCCCGGGUGUUGCUCGUGACAAGGAAGAUGGGGAGCCAAAGACCAAGCAUCUCAGAGAAGAGGAGGAAGAAGGCGAGAAGCACAGGGAACUUAGGCUGCGGAACUAUGUCCCGGAGGAUGAGGACCUGAAGAAGAGGAGGGUGCCCCAGGCCAAACCGGUUGCAGUGGAGGAGAAGGUGAAGGAGCAGCUGGAGGCCGCCAAGCCCGAGCCCGUCAUCGAGGAGGUGGACCUGGCCAACCUCGCUCCUCGGAAGCCUGACUGGGACCUCA
rnacentral:lncRNA from 1 species